UACGUAGGGACCAAGCGUUGUUCGGAUUUACUGGGCGUAAAGGGCGCGUAGGCGGUUCGUUAAGUCCUGUGUGAAAUCCCCCGGCUCAACUGGGGAACUGCACAGGAAACUAGCGGGCUUGAGUUCGGGAGAGGGAAGCGGAAUUCCGGGUGUAGCGGUGAAAUGCGUAGAUAUCCGGAGGAACACCGGUGGCGAAGGCGGCUUCCUGGACCGACACUGACGCUGAGGCGCGAAAGCUAGGGGAGCAAACGGG
rnacentral:rRNA from 1 species